UCCUGGUGCUUGCACCCGGUGGAUGAGUGGCGAACGGGUGAGUAACACGUGAGUAACCUGCCCCUGACUUCGGGAUAAGCCCGGGAAACUGGGUCUAAUACCGGAUACGACUGCCGGACGCAUGUCUGGUGGUGGAAAGUUUUUUCGGUUGGGGAUGGGCUCGCGGCCUAUCAGUUUGUUGGUGAGGUAAUGGCUCACCAAGACGACGACGGGUAGCCGGCCUGAGAGGGCGACCGGCCACACUGGGACUGAGACACGGCCCAGACUCAUACGGGAGGCAGCAGUGGGGAAUAUUGCACAAUGGGGGAAACCCUGAUGCAGCGACGCAGCGUGCGGGAUGACGGCCUUCGGGUUGUAAACCGCUUUCAGCAGGGAAGAAGCGCAAGUGACGGUACCUGCAGAAGAAGUACCGGCUAACUACGUGCCAGCAGCCGCGGUAAUACGUAGGGUACGAGCGUUGUCCGGAAUUAUUGGGCGUAAAGAGCUCGUAGGUGGUUGGUCACGUCUGCUGUGGAAACGCAACGCUUAACGUUGCGCGUGCAGUGGGUACGGGCUGACUAGAGUGCAGUAGGGGAGUCUGGAAUUCCUGGUGUAGCGGUGAAAUGCGCAGAUAACAGGAGGAACACCGGUGGCGAAGGCGGGACUCUGGGCUGUAACUGACACUGAGGAGCGAAAGCAUGGGGAGCGAACAGGAUUAGAUACCCUGGGUAGUCCAUGCCGUAAACGUUGGGGCACUAGUGUGGGGGGCAUUCCACGUUCUCCGCGCCGUAGCUAACGCAUUAAGUGCCCCGCCUGGGGAGUACGGUCGCAAGGCUAAAACUCAAAGGAAUUGACGGGGGCCCGCACAAGCGGCGGAGCAUGCGGAUUAAUUCGAUGCAACGCGAAGAACCUUACCAAGGCUUGACAUACACCGGACCGUCCUGGAAACAGGUCCUCUUCUUUGAAGCUGGUGUACAGGUGGUGCAUGGUUGUCGUCAGCUCGUGUCGUGACAUGUUGGGUUAAGUCCCGCAACGAGCGCAACCCUCGUUCUAUGUUGCCAGCAUGUGAUGGUGGGAACUCAUAGGAGACUGCCGGGGUCAACUCGGAGGAAGGUGGGGAUGACGUCAAAUCAUCAUGCCCUUUAUGUCUUGGGCUUCACGCAUGCUACAAUGGCUGGUACAGAGAGAGGCGAACCCGUGAGGGCAAGCGAAUCCCUUAAAGCCAGUCUCAGUUCGGAUCGUAGUCUGCAAUUCGACUACGUGAAGUCGGAGUCGCUAGUAAUCGCAGAUCAGCAACGCUGCGGUGAAUACGUUCCCGGGCCUUGUACACACCGCCCGUCAAGUCACGAAAGUCGGUAACACCCGAAGCCGG
rnacentral:rRNA from 1 species